UUCGGUAAAUAUUCGGUAAGUGGCCGUCCCCUUUGCCCUUACACGCGCGGCAGCCUCGAGUCAUGCGGGAAGUCAAGGAGAGGACACCCGCUGCUGUUGUCAGGGAGGAACCGGAGUCAGAGGUCGCACAAGGUCGCCUCAACACUUAUGGACUAACACGAUAUCCUCCCCUGUCUCAGGCUCAGGAAAUAACAGUAUAGCAACAGCCUCAAGCUCCACUCCUAGUACCUGAACCUCACACACAAACAAACACACAGGUAAUUGAGGCUCGCUACAAUACUUAUGGACCAUAUUUGUUUGUUCCCCUUGUCUCAGAGGCUCAGGAAAUGACAUAGAAACAGCCUCAGUCCUCACUACUAGUUCUUGAAUCGCACACACAAACAAGCACUGAGGUAAUUAGUGUUAAUUUCUUAACACUUAUGGACUGUAAUUGUUCGUUCCCCGUGUCUCAGAGGCUCACCAAAUGCCGUUACAGAAGCAGCAUCAGUCUUCACACCAAGUACAUGAAUUGCACACACAAACAAGCACUGAGGUAAUUGGAGUUCACCUCUUAACCCCAAUGGACUGAUAUAAUGAUUUUUUCCAGAGCGAAGAAACAAGUGAUCAAUGAACGAACAGGCAAACGAGUCAAUGAGCCACGAUUCGAGACGGACAGGAUGAAGCAGUGCAGUCUCUCCAGGCCAGUCGCGGAGUGGACGCCUCGCCGCCUGCCUGCGCUCUCCUGUCCGUCCUCCUGUGUGGCCCAGAAGUUACGUGAGGGAUUUGUCACGAGGGAAGGCAACCCAACGUGAUGUCCCCGUCGAGGCAUUUUCAAGGUCAGCGGAUGGAGGGAAGCUAAACAUGCACCUUCACCUACGUAUGGACGGCGACGGGCGAGACCUGGAAAUGACGAGAGACGGACUUGGGUGGGCAGGCCAACCAACACACAUAUUGCUAGAAUGGAUGCAACGACGACACGAUGAGCCGCUGUAUUGGUUGCCGUGCGCCGGGCCCCGUGUAGCUGUGCAUGACGUAUAAGCCUCUAACGCAGCGGAUGAACCAGCUUAAACAAUGCUAUCCAAAGCUGUACUCCAGUAUGACAGCAGCUGCUCCUGAGGGUUGUCAAAUGACUCUCACUAGAUGGAUGGCACCUGCAAUCCUCCAUGGUGAGUCAGUGUUGUGUUCUAGUCAAGAUAACUAACAUAGAACUUACAAGAUUUCAGAGGAAUAGUCAGUCUCACAGCUUUCUCUGCUUUAAUAAUUAAAUGAAUUAUACUUUUGGUUAAUGUCCACAAUUUGAAUCAGACAACUCAUGUCUUGUGAUUUAAUUUUAGAGAAACAUUUAGAAGAAUAUGAAGUGUGUGUUUAUGUGUAUGAGUUUAGGCAUGUAGUUGUGAGAUGACAUGUUAAGAUCUAAAUUAUCACAGUGUUGGGAUGUGUGGAAGUGUUGCCAGAUGUGUUGAAGUAGAGAUUCUGGAGGCAAAAAUGCCAGAUAGAGUGUGCACAACAACCAUCAAAAGCUUUCAUAAAAUAGACAUUUUGUGCCCCACUAUUGCAAACUGCUGUAUUUGCUAACCCACUCCAUUGUUUAUUUAAAAAUGGAUUUAGACUAAUAGCUGUCUCCAAAUAUGAUGAAAGGAAACACUUUCAGUUUAGCAAAGGAAAGAUAUCUAUAACCAAUAAAGGUUUCUAUGAACUAUGUGACAAAUACUCGAGUAGCAGAAGCAGAACUGUAACAUUGGCAUUAAACUCUUCUGUUCAUACACUUGAAAGCAGACGUCAUGUUAAUGAGGUCAAGCACUGACAUUAAACUAACUCAUGAAAUUAUACUUAGCAAUGCCCUAUUGGUAUUUAUAAUGUUCAUUGUACUCAUUGGUGUAUUAUUUUUAAACUUACUGCUCACUUAUGUCAAUUACUGGAACAAAAAAUACAUCUGUACAUUUGCUCAUGUCUUGAACAGCCUGUACUAUCUAGGCAUCCCUAAUGAGACAACUCUCUUGCAUGUUACAGUCGCAUGUCCUGUUCUGGAUAUUCCUCAUCUUUCAUGACUGCCACUCUGGAGAGGCAAACCAACCCAGAAAUUGUAGAAGUCAUGGCAGACAGAGACCCAGGGGAUGAAAAUGGAGCAUUUGCCUGAAUGACCAUUAUUAAACAGAGGUGGAGGAGUGGUGGGUAUACUUUUGUCCUACAGUGAACUAGUAAUGGCUGAAGAUGGUGAUGAGGACACCAUUUUCAUGCAAACCUUCAAUUUUAUUCUAAUAAUCAGCCUUACAUUCAUUCCUUUUACUCCCAAAAUAUUUUAAUUAUCAAUCUCAAUUUUCCAUUUGCCAAGAUGGACCAGUUUUCCUACCUCAUGAAUGCAGAACGGUCUAGUUACACCUUCCUUUGGUGUAGUACGUCAUGAGGUAAUAUUAACAUAUUUAGCAGCGGUCAUAUAAUGUUUAUGAUGUAAAACUUGAUGACUUUGCAUGAGCAAUAAAUUCACAUGCCAUCUGCUCUAGAGUACAUGCAGCUCCAUGCAUACAGAUAAUGUCUCCAAGAUAUAAACACUCGCCAUCACUCCAUGAUAGGUUUCUGAUGCAAAACAAUAUGCUAAAACAAAUAACCUCAUUAUAAGAAGAAUUAACAAGACAGGGUAAAACUCAGAUUACAAAUAUCAAUAUACAAA